AGUCGAACGAAGCGCUUAAAUGGAUUUCUUCGGAUUGAAGUUUUUGUGACUGAGUGGCGGACGGGUGAGUAACGCGUGGGUAACCUGCCUCAUACAGGGGGAUAACAGUUAGAAAUGACUGCUAAUACCGCAUAAGCGCACAGUGCUGCAUGGCACAGUGUGAAAAACUCCGGUGGUAUGAGAUGGACCCGCGUCUGAUUAGCUGGUUGGUGGGGUAACGGCCUACCAAGGCGACGAUCAGUAGCUGGCCUGAGAGGGUGAACGGCCACAUUGGGACUGAGACACGGCCCAAACUCCUACGGGAGGCAGCAGUGGGGAAUAUUGCACAAUGGGGGAAACCCUGAUGCAGCGACGCCGCGUGAGCGAAGAAGUAUUUCGGUAUGUAAAGCUCUAUCAGCAGGGAAGAAAAUGACGGUACCUGACUAAGAAGCACCGGCUAAAUACGUGCCAGCAGCCGCGGUAAUACGUAUGGUGCAAGCGUUAUCCGGAUUUACUGGGUGUAAAGGGAGCGUAGACGGUUGUGUAAGUCUGAUGUGAAAGCCCGGGGCUCAACCCCGGGACUGCAUUGGAAACUAUGUAACUAGAGUGUCGGAGAGGUAAGCGGAAUUCCUAGUGUAGCGGUGAAAUGCGUAGAUAUUAGGAGGAACACCAGUGGCGAAGGCGGCUUACUGGACGAUCACUGACGUUGAGGCUCGAAAGCGUGGGGAGCAAACAGGAUUAGAUACCCUGGUAGUCCACGCCGUAAA
rnacentral:rRNA from 1 species